rnacentral:rRNA from 1 species
CCUACGGGAGGCAGCAGUGAGGAAUAUUGGUCAAUGGACGAGAGUCUGAACCAGCCAAGUAGCGUGAAGGAUGACUGCCCUAUGGGUUGUAAACUUCUUUUAUAUGGGAAUAAAAUGUUCCACGUGUGGGAUUUUGUAUGUACCAUAUGAAUAAGGAUCGGCUAACUCCGUGCCAGCAGCCGCGGUAAUACGGAGGCUCCGAGCGUUAUCCGGAUUUAUUGGGUUUAAAGGGAGCGUAGGUGGAUUGUUAAGUCAGUUGUGAAAGUUUGCGGCUCAACCGUAAAAUUGCAGUUGAAACUGGCAGUCUUGAGUACAGUAGAGGUGGGCGGAAUUCGUGGUGUAGCGGUGAAAUGCUUAGAUAUCACGAAGAACUCCGAUUGCGAAGGCAGUUCACUGGACUGCAACUGACACUGAGGCUCGAAAGUGUGGGUAUCAAACAGGAUUAGAUACCCGAGUAGUC